AACGCGAAGAACCUUACCUGGGCUCGAACGGCUUCCCAACGGCGUUAGAAAUAGCGCUACCCCGCAAGGGGGUGGAGUCGAGGUGCUGCAUGGCUGUCGUCAGCUCGUGUCGUGAGAUGUUGGGUUAAGUCCCGCAACGAGCGCAACCCUUGUCCUGUGUUGCCAUGCCGCAAGGCGGCACUCGCAGGAGACCGCCAGCGAUAAGCUGGAGGAAGGUGGGGAUGACGUCAAGUCCUCAUGGCCUUUAUGUCCAGGGCUACACACGUGCUACAAUGGCCGGUACAAAGCGUCGCUAACCCGCGAGGGGGAGCCAAUCGCAAAAAACCGGUCUCAGUUCGGAUUGCAGGCUGCAACUCGCCUGCAUGAAGCUGGAAUCGCUAGUAAUGGCAGAUCAGCACGCUGCCGUGAAUACGUUCCCGGGCCUUGUA
rnacentral:rRNA from 1 species